CUUCAAAGCAUGACACAUGCUUCUCUGCAAGCCCCGAUGAUCCCGUGAUGUGCUAGGUCUUGCAAAAGAGCCGCACAUGGACCUUUGCAGCUAUCCAUUUCCAGGUUCUGCUGAGGGGCCGCUUGGCAGUGCCUGAAAACCCAUUUGUAGCCCAGCCGUGUCUCCAUCUGCCCCACACCUAAGAUCUUGUACACAGGUGAGCAGGUGGCUGCUUGACCAAAGCAGUCUCAGGGGUCAAAAUGGGGAUGCCUGACAGGACUGAUUAGGCUUGUGGGGCCACAGGCUCCCCACAGCUGCUUUAGUCCAUCUCUAGGGCCUUUUGUCCUGUUCCCCACCUGGUUAUAAAACGGGAGCAGAACAUGAAAAGCAAUGCAAGGGAGAUCCUCAGGUUCAAAGACAUGAUGUGUUUUGGGAGGGGCUGUGGUGCCAGGUUGGACAGUGCCCUGGAUUUUUAAACUAGGCUGUGCAGAAAAGAAGUAUUCAUAGUCUGCACCUCCCCACUCCUGCCCACCCCCAGCGGAUCUUGAGAAAUUCUGCCCGAGUGGACCCAAGCAGCAGCCAGGGCAGGAUUCCAGCUUCUGGGCUGUUCCAAGAAAAUGUCCUCCUCAACCAGGAACCAGAGGUUAAUUUCUGUUAGCAUAACUCCGGCCGCUGUUUCCUUGGCAACAGAGAUCUUUUGUUGUCAAGCGGGCUCUCCUCUCUGCCAAAAGUCCAAGGAGAAAUCGCAGCUUGUUUCAUGCCAAACUUUUUGUCCACAGGGCAAACCUUUUCCACCCAAGUGUGUCUUUAUCAUGGAAACUUGCCUGCCCCACAAAGAGGGUUCUGGGUAAUGUUCUGAGGUGCACACCUCUGGUUCUCGUGAAGCCCAAACUGGGACCGUUUUGCCAGGGAGUGUACAGCGCAAGGGCGCACAGAGGUUUCCUACAUUACGUGGGAAUCCUGUUUCUUCCCAAGGAAGCUUAUCUGCCACUUAUUAGCCUUAUCGUUGAGAAAGCGACGCCUAGGGUGCCUCGCUAAAGUUAGAAGCGGGACCUGCCGCACCGUUGCGAGGUGUAGCCUUCCUGUUUACUGUCUGAGUCAGCCAUGCGUUUCUCCAUAACAGCCCACGCCGACUCCUUCCUAAUUUUCCAUUCUCCCCACCCAAAAGCCAGUCAGCAUUUUGUUGCCUCCACGGAGCAUGCUCAGCCCUCGUUAAAUGCAGGUAACAUUAAGUUCCGGUAACAAGUCAGCAGCUUUUGUCCCAGACACAGGAGCCAACUCCUAAACUGAGGUCUAUUUGCCACCUGUCCAAUAAAAUAUUUGAUGGUGGCAGGGGGCCCCCAAAGCCGAUGGGCAUUGCUAUUCAAAUGGUAUGGGGGGAAGGGUGGGGCUUACCUGUCCCCCAUCCCCCAUAUUAUAUUCAAGUUGGCACCCCUGGUCCCUGGGGAUCAGGUUGAAAAUGCCCUUUUUGUGGGAGUUCACGCAAUGUAAGUCUACUUUUGAGUAUAACUUGCUUGGAUGCAAACUGCAAUUUUAGCAGUCAGUCUCUCUUCCCAGGGAAUUCUGGGAAUUGUAGCUUGGUGCGGAGAAUAGGGGGUCUCCUAACAUCACUCGGCACCUUUACAAACCACAGUUCCCAGGCUUCUUUGCGGAGAAGCCAUGACAAAGUGACGCAAUAAUGCUUUAAAUGCAAGGUGCAGAUCGGGCCAAAAAUUUGGCUGCCACUAUGCCUUCUCUGGGACGCGGGUGGUGCUGUGGGUUAAACCAGAGCCUAGGACUUGCUGAUCAGAAGGUCAGCGGUUCGAAUCCCCGUGACAGUGAGCUCCCGUUGCUCGGUCCCUGCUCCUGCCAACCUAGCAGUUCAAAAGCACGUCAAAGUGCAAGUAGAUAAAUAGGUACCGCUCCAGCGGGAAGGUAAACGGCGUUUCCGUGCGCUGCUCUGGUUUGCCAGAAGCGGCUUAGUCAUGCUGGCCACGUGGCCUGGAAGCUGUACACAGGUUCCCUCGGCCAAUAAAGUGAGAUGAGCGCCACAACCCCAGAGUCUGUCACGACUGGACCUAAUGGUCAGGGGUACCUUUACCUUUAUGCCUUCUCUACAUGGAAUGGGCGGGGCACCACCUUGUCCUUUGCCAAAUUGUUUAGGGCCAGUCCUGAAGGGGAGAAAAAGAACUGUUUUGUGGGGGGUGGAAGCAGCUCCUAGCAAUUCCAAGUGGAGCAUUAUGCUUACGCCCGCCUGACACUUGUGCUACUUCCACGUUGUCGUGUGUGUGUGUGUCUGCCCCCAAAGGGUGUGUCGGUAUUUGCUCUUAGUCUGUGUAUACGUGUGUGUGUCAGCUGGGCUGGGCCUCUGUACUUGCAGCGAGACCCAGGCUCCCUAUGUUUAAAUGUGGGGCGUACACCCUUAUUUCUGUCGUCUUCCAUGCAUUCCAAAGAGACUGUUGCAUCCUGGGCCCUAGUCCUCAGCCCAAGUUUCAGCCGUUGAACCAAUGGCACAGUCAGGUAAUUUUUAGACUUAGGGACUGGAGGUGGAGGAGAAAUUCAACUCUGUCUGCAUUUAAAGAGCCACUGUGGUGUGGUGGUUAGUGUGUCAGACGAGGACCCAGGAGACAUCGGUUCAAAUCCCCACUGGGCCAUGAAACUCAUGGGGUGACCUGGGGCCAGUGCCCUCUCAGCCUAACCUAACUCUCAGGGUUGUUUGAGGAGGGGAAGAACUAUGUAUGCCACCUUAAGCUCCUCAGAUAAAAAGGUGGGAUAUUAUGCCAUUAGGGACGUGGGUGGCACUGUGGGUUAAACCAACAGAGCCUAGGACUUGCCGAUCAGAAGGUCAGCGGUUCGAAUCCCCGCAACGGGUUGAGCUCCCAUUGCUUGGUCCCUGCUCCUGCCAACCUAGCAGUUCGAAAGCACGCCAAAGUGCAAGUAGAGAAAUAGGUACCGCUCCGGCGGGAAGGUAAACGGCGUUUCCGUGCGCUGCUCUGGUUCGCCGGAAGCGGCUUAGUCAUGCUGGCCACCUGACCCGAAAAACUGUCUGCAGACAAACGUUGGCUCCCUCGGCCAGUAAAGCAAGAUGAGUGUCACAACCCCAGAGUUGUUCGCGACUGGACUUAACUGUCAGGGGUCCCUUUAGCUAAAUGCCAUUAAGAAGCAAUAAUAAUAACAACAAACUUAAUUAAUUCACACGUUCCAAAACAAUAAGCGAACCAAAGCACAGCUAUGCUUCAAAAUUUGCACUUUUCUGAAUUUUGCAAUGCAGUUCUCCCAAGUACUGUGUACAAAAAUGUACCUGCUGUGUUAAGUUGUGCAUAUAAAUACAAAGAUCAAUGAAAACAAUGGGCACAAUACAUUCAGUAGGGCAAAAUUGCAUACAUUAAGCCUGAAACGUACGUGGGAGUUACAUUCCAGGGAUUGAUCCUAAAGCCAAAACUGCGUAUAAGUCAAAACAUUUAAGGUAUAUAUAUGCCAAGCAUGUGAAGCUGAAUGUGCACAAGUUAAAUGCACAGUAAGUUGCGGGCUUGCUGUAUGUGCAUAUUAGGAUAAAUUAUUAUAAUUCCGUUUAUUACCCUUUCUUCACCAGCAGGUCCCAGGGCAGGUUAUAGCAAUUCAAGUAUUAAAACCAGAUAAAAUAAAGUUGCAGUCACAGGAAUAGGGUGGGUCCUGGAAAUUAACACUGAGGGCCGUAUUUCCUUCUGGGCCACAUUCCAGUGGUAGGCAGAGCCAGAGGCAAAAGUGGGCAAAUGAAAAUGAAUGUAAAUUUUACAAGCCAACUUGAAAGCCUUGUUAUUGCCUCAUCCGCAUGCAAAGGCGAGGUCUGUCAUUUCUUCUGCUGCCCAGGCACAUGACGUCAUUGCUCCUGCCCUGGGGCGGGGGAGUGCUGUACCCAUACUCCUCUUCCGCUGCCCCAAGGUGUUGGGUAGGUGAAGAAAAACCUUUCGCAUAAUCUGAUACUUCUAGCUCAUGGUUAGAGAACAUCUGGGCCUCUAGAUCAGGGUUUCCCAAACUCGGGUCUCCAGCUGUUUUAGGACUACAACUCCCAUCAUCCCUGGCUAGCAGGACAAGUGGUCAGGGAUGAUGGGAAUUGUAGUCCAAAAAAAACAACAGCUGGUUUGGGAAACCCUGCUCUAGAUGUUGCUGGAUUUCUUCUGCCUCCUAUCAGCCCCAGCCAGCAUGGCAAAUGGUCUCUCACUGAGCUGUAGUCUCUGCCCAGCUUCUCAUUCCUGCAGCGCUUGGCACCGAAGGCAGUUGUUAAGAGUUUGUGGGUGCUUUGACUCUCCUGAAUUCCUGGGUCUGAUGAGUUUUGAAGUUAAAUCAGUGCUUGGAGUAUUGGAAUGGGGCUGCCAGACGCUGGAUUUAGCAAAGUGCUGAAAUACAGGCCAGACCAGUUCUUCUGUGAUCAGGAAAUCAUCUGGGAGAAGACCAUUAAAAGAGGAGAAAAGCCAUUAAGAAGGUAUAGGCUGUACCAAACAGCAAGCAGGUGGCGUCCCUCCUUCUACUGAGAGAUAGUUAGCAGAGAAAAAUCAGUUUUGAGUUUAGGAUUGCAAUGGGGAUGAUAUGACCUGGGGGAAAAGAGGUUGCAGUUUGUUAAAUGCGGCAAGCUGCUGAGGGGCGUCUGAGCACAAUGUGGGCUGACAGUUGGAAUUAGAGGCUGCAGGUAGAGGAUAAAUGGAACCCUCUUGGAGCGUAAUGCUGGGAGACCAUCCAUCGUAGACUGAGGUUGUACUAAGUCUAAAGAAAUCAUAUGUCAUAAAGACACCACAGACUCCGCUGUGCCUCAAUGCCCAAAGGUAAAUACAGACCCUGGGUAAGUGCCUGGAACUUCCUGGAAUCUCACAAUCUGCUUUUGGGGUGUAAGCUGCCUUACACUGAGUCCGACUGCCGUUCUUCCGUCUUGCUCUGUACUGCUUGUACACCAGGUUUGCUCAAACCUGUUGGCCCCAGUUCCAAUUCUUAGGAAUGCAAAUGAAAUAUGAAUAUGUCAUCAACAUUUGAUCCAUUAUUAGGAAGCAUAAAAUAAAAAAUAAAGAAGGCUUACAAGUGAAAAUAAUUAUGAUAUCAUGCAGAGGUUCUGCAAUGGCAAGGGAGGUGCACUCUGUACAUGUCCAUGCUCUUUAUUUUUGAGGAUCAUAGUUUCAAAUUAAAAAUUUCACACUAUAUCCCAUAAAUCUAUUUUCCACCCCUAGGCCCUUUUCGACCCCCAGGUUUUUAUUCAGCCGCCCGCUCUCAGUCCCACUGAUACCAGGGGGUUGAUAUAAACCACUUCCUCCAUUCAGCCAGGGACCAUCUAAUUCAGUACUGUCUACACAGGCUGGCAGAGGCUUUCCAGGCUGAGGCUUUUCUCCAGCCCUAUCUAGGGACGUUGCCAGGGAUUGAGCCCGGAACCGUCUGCAUGCAAAGCAGAUGCUUUGUUGUUGAGCCAAAGGAAGGGUGAGAGUACCACUGAGCAUGUGCGGUGAGCUUUUUCCUCACCUCACCCCUCACUCCUGGCAUUCGGGGGGGGGGGCAGUGUUGUCAUCCUGCUGGAGGAUGUUGCUUUAGCCUCUGUGUUUUCCCCUCUCUCUGUCAAGUACAUCAAAGGAAACGCUCGUUAGCUUAAUGGAGAAUCCAGCAGCCCAGUGGCUCGAGGCCAAGAUGGCUGUCACACACCACCAGAAAAGGAGAUUGGCAGGGGAGUCAGUGCAAAAUGAGUCACUUCCCGCCAUUUGUAUAGUGGAAAAUCACAAGGCAGCGGGGAGGGGGGAUAUGAUGGGGGGCGGGAUGAGAAAGAGGGGCUGCUUUGCUGAGAAAAUGCUGCAUUGCUGGAAAAGUGUGAGAAAUUGGACAUGCUGGCUAAAUUUCACUUGCUUGUGGUAUUCUCAGGGCAAGUGGAAGGAAGGGGGAAUAUGAGGUGGACUUUUUAGAAAUUGCCCAGUCAGAACCUCAGAGCAUUUUCCGCCCAGUUUCUCACUAGGCUAGAGCCCAGUCUGGAUUUGUUAGAAGUCAUGAUUUAACCCAAGUUUUGUUUUGUUUUUAGAAGAGAGGUUAUGAAAAGCUUUGCUUUUUUGGGGGGUGGGGAAACCCAAGGGCCACAUUCCUUUCUGAGUGAUCUUCUGGGAGCCACAUGGUAGGCAGAGCCAGAGGCUAAAAUGGGCAGAGCAAUGGAUGCAGAUUUUAUGCUUGUGCAUAGACAAAUUUCUACAGACACUCAAGCACCCCUCUCUACCAUCCAACUUAGCAAGCACAAGACAUUAAUCAGCAUUCAAGUCCACAUUCAGGACAGGCAAAAAAAUUAAGGUGCAAAACAGGGCUGAAGGGGCGGUCUGGGGAGAGUUUUGAGGGCCAGAAAGAGAGGACUGGAGGUCCAUAUUCGGCCCCCAGGCCUGAGGUUCCCUACCUCUGGUUUGUAUCUCUUAACUGUACUGCAAUCUCAUACUUCCUCAAGUGGCAGGAGGUUCCAGUGGCAAGAUACGGAGCAGUUACCUUUGAAAGGAGAGUCUGUCCACUAGUACUUUGUGAUUUGGUUUCUUCUUGCAAAACCUGCCUCUUUGUUUUAGGCCUGCUGACCAGUUGAAAGGGUGUGCUUGUUCACACAGCUGAUCACCUGCGUUUGGAGCAUUUGACUGGCAGCUCCUUCUUAUCCCUGUUGACCUGGCAACUUUCCCUUUUCUGUUCCAGUGCCAAAAGAACG
rnacentral:lncRNA from 1 species